rnacentral:tRNA from 1 species
AGGCCGGGGCCCGGGGCCAGACCGGUUUCCAAAACCAGUCGGGUGAGUUCGACUCUUACACGGCCUGCCA